GUGCCAGCAGCCGCGGUAAGACGAACCGUGCGAACGUUAUUCGGAAUCACUGGGCUUAAAGCGCGUGUAGGCGGGCCAUCACGUCGGUCGCUGAAAGCCCCCGGCUCAACCGGGGAACGGGCGCCGAUACGAGUGGCCUGGAGGGGGGUAGGGGGACCUGGAACUUCCGGUGGAGCGGUGAAAUGCGUUGAGAUCGGAAGGAACGCCCGUGGCGAAAGCGAGGUCCUGGACCCCAUCUGACGCUGAGACGCGAAAGCCAGGGGAGCGAACGGGAUUAGAAACCCUCGUAGUCC
rnacentral:rRNA from 1 species